GACGAACGCUGGCGGCGUGCCUAAUACAUGCAAGUCGAGCGCAGGAAAUCGACGGAACCCUUCGGGGGGAAGUCGACGGAAUGAGCGGCGGACGGGUGAGUAACACGUAAAGAACCUGCCCUCAGGUCUGGGAUAACCACGAGAAAUCGGGGCUAAUACCGGAUGGGUCAUCGGACCGCAUGGUCCGAGGAUGAAAGGCGCUUCGGCGUCGCCUGGGGAUGGCUUUGCGGUGCAUUAGCUAGUUGGUGGGGUAAUGGCCCACCAAGGCGACGAUGCAUAGCCGACCUGAGAGGGUGAUCGGCCACACUGGGACUGAGACACGGCCCAGACUCCUACGGGAGGCAGCAGUAGGGAAUCUUCCACAAUGGACGAAAGUCUGAUGGAGCAACGCCGCGUGAACGAUGAAGGCCUUCGGGUCUUAAAGUUCUGUUGUAAGGGAAGAACAAGUGCCGCAGGCAAUGGCGGUACCUUGACGGUACCUUGCGAGAAAGCCACGGCUAACUACGUGCCAGCCGCCGCCGUAA
rnacentral:rRNA from 1 species